AGCGAACGUUUGCGGCGGGCCUAACACAUGCAAGUCGAACGCACUAGCAAUAGUGUGUGGCGCACGGGUGCGUAACACGUGGGUAAUCAACCCUUCAGCUUGGGAUAACGACUUGAAAGGGUCGCUAAUACCGGAUACGGCGAGAGAGGCUUCGGCAUUUCUCGAGAAAGCCUCGCAAGGGGCACUGAAGGACGAGCCUGCGGCCCAUUAGCUAGUUGGUGAGGUAAGAGUUCACCAAGGCGAAGACGGGUAGCUGGUCUGAGAGGAUGAUCAGCCACACUGGAACUGAGACACGGUCCAGACUCCUACGGGAGGCAGCAGUGGGGAAUAUUGCGCAAUGGGCGAAAGCCUGACGCAGCCACGCCGCGUGAGCGAUGAAGGCCUCGGGUCGU
rnacentral:rRNA from 1 species